rnacentral:rRNA from 1 species
UACGUAGGGUGCGAGCGUUUGUCCGGAAUUACUGGGCGUAAAGAGCUCGUAGGUGGUUUGUCGCGUUGUUCGUGAAAACCUGAGGCUUAACCUUGGGCGUGCGGGCGAUACGGGCAGACUGGAGUACUGCAGGGGAGACUGGAAUUCCUGGUGUAGCGGUGGAAUGCGCAGAUAUCAGGAGGAACACCGGUGGCGAAGGCGGGUCUCUGGGCAGUAACUGACGCUGAGGAGCGAAAGCGUGGGGAGCGAACAGG